GAUGAACGCUGACAGAAUGCUUAACACAUGCAAGUCAUUGGCGAAGCUGCGCUUGCGCAGUCUAGCCAAGGCGGACGGGUGAGUAACGCGUCAGGAACUUGCCCUGCAGACAGGGAUAACAGACGGAAACGACUGAUAACACCUGGUAUUGUCAGGCUGGCGCAUGCCGGCCUGAUGAAAGGAGACGCUGCAGGAGAGCCUUGCGUCCUAUUAGCUAGUUGGUGGGGUAACGGCCCACCAAGGCGAUGAUAGGUAGCCGGCCUGAGAGGGUGAACGGCCACAAGGGGACUGAGAUACGGCCCUUACUCCUACGGGAGGCAGCAGUGGGGAAUAUUGGACAAUGGGGGCAACCCUGAUCCAGCAAUUCUGUGUGCACGAAGAAGGUUUUCGGAGUGUAAAGUGCUUUCAGCAGGGAAGAAGAAAGUGACGGUACCUGCAGAAGAAGCGACGGCUAAAUACGUG
rnacentral:rRNA from 1 species